rnacentral:rRNA from 1 species
GACGAACGCUGGCGGCGUGCUUAACACAUGCAAGUCGAACGGAAAGGCCCUGCUUGCAGGGUACUCGAGUGGCGAACGGGUGAGUAACACGUGGGUGAUCUGCCCUGCACUUCGGGAUAAGCCUGGGAAACUGGGUCUAAUACCGGAUAGGAGCCAUUUUGAGGGUGAUUGUUGGAAAGUUUUUUCGGUGUAGGAUGAGCUCGCGGCCUAUCAGCUUGUUGGUGGGGUAAUGGCCUACCAAGGCGGCGACGGGUAGCCGGCCUGAGAGGGUGGACGGCCACAUUGGGACUGAGAUACGGCCCAGACUCCUACGGGAGGCAGCAGUGGGGAAUAUUGCACAAUGGGCGCAAGCCUGAUGCAGCGACGCCGCGGGGGGGAUGACGGCCUUCGGGUUGUAAACUCCUUUCGCUAGGGACGAAGCUUUUUGUGACGGUACCUAGAUAAGAAGCACCGGCUAACUACGUG